GACGAACCGAGCGAACGUUGUUCGGAAUCACUGGGCUUAAAGGGCGCGUAGGCGGGUGCUCAAGUCCGGGGUGAAAUCCUCCAGCUCAACUGGGGAACUGCCUCGGAUACUGGGUGUCUCGAGUGUGGUAGGGGUAUGCGGAACUAUCGGUGGAGCGGUGAAAUGCGUUGAUAUCGAUAGGAACUCCGGUGGCGAAGGCGGCAUACUGGACCACUACUGACGCUGAUGCGCGAAAGCCAGGGGAGCAAAGCGGG
rnacentral:rRNA from 1 species